rnacentral:rRNA from 1 species
GAUGAACGCUGGCGGCGUGCCUAAUACAUGCAAGUCGAGCGAACGGACGAGAAGCUUGCUUCUCUGAUGUUAGCGGCGGACGGGUGAGUAACACGUGGAUAACCUACCUAUAAGACUGGGAUAACUUCGGGAAACCGGAGCUAAUACCGGAUAAUAUUUUGAACCGCAUGGUUCAAAAGUGAAAGACGGUCUUGCUGUCACUUAUAGAUGGAUCCGCGCUGCAUUAGCUAGUUGGUAAGGUAACGGCUUACCAAGGCAACGAUGCAUAGCCGACCUGAGAGGGUGAUCGGCUACACUGGAACUGAGACACGGUCCAGACUCCUACGGGAGGCAGCAGUAGGGAAUCUUCCGCAAAGGGCGAAAGCCUGACGGAGCAACGCCGCGUGAGUGAUGAAGGUCUUCGGAUCGUAAAACUCUGUUAUUAGGGAAGAACAUAUGUGUAAGUAACUGUGCACAUCUUGACGGUACCUAAUCAGAAAGCCACGGCUAACUACGUG